CAAAAUGACAAAAAAAAGACACAAAAUGACUUCCAAAGACAUGAAAAGAAUUCAAAAAUGGACAAAAUAGCCCAAGACUCCAUAGAGUUAAGUUGUUAACCCAUUUCUUGUUCCCUGAAAAAGGCCUACUUGUAUAAUUCUGAAAUGUACAUUAUUUUUCAGUUUUUGUUAAGCUUACCUUUUUUUAUUUACCUCUGGCAGUUCACCACUUACCUUUGUACCCUUUCAAGCUGUUCAUUUGACUUGAACUGCUUGAAUUUCAAGAAAAAACUGGAAAAAUUGGGGUGUUCUAAAACUUUUGACCGGUAGUGUAGCUUUAGCAUCUUUUAGCAUUAUUACCUAGCAUUGAGGUCAGAGGAGCUGUAAGACAGGAUAUUUUCUUUCCUUUCAGGCUUGUGUUCUGAUCUGCGCUACUGUCUUGGGAUCUGCAGUGGAGAAAAGUACCUUCGCCUGUGGGAUCUGACCUCCAGGAUCAGUGACCAGGCUCUUACCUAUAAUAUCCAUAAGAUCAGGAGUGAGGGCACAGAGGAGAUCAUCCCUAUGGGGAGAACCCCGAGGUAUGCUGUGUGCCGCUCCGUCAGAGCUGGGACGGUGUCUGUGUGGAACCUGACCAGGCGGCGUUUUUCCUGCCGACCAGUCAGAGUGGAGCACGGCCUCUACAGCACAACUGACGUGGUGCUGGCACAUGACUUCAAACUUUACAUCCUUACAGACAGAAGCACCAACUGCAGCAUGGACACCUCUUCAUAUCCAUUCCAGGUCUGACUCUCUUUCCUGUCAUUUCUUUUCUAUUCAUCUGCUCAUUUCCCCUGUCAGAUUAACAGAACUGACACGUCUGACCCCCCAGACUCUCCUGGUGUAUGAUUUGAUUAAGCGGAGCUAUGUGAGGAGACUGACUGGGAUCACGGUCCAUCCCGGUCCUCAGCAGGAGUACCGUGUUCUGGAGAAUGGACGGACUCUUCUGGGACUAUCGGAGACCAGACAUCAUCUGGUCCUUUGGGAUCUGGACUCUGGUUCUAUCAGACAUGAGAUCAAACCUUCUCACAGGGAGUCGCUCCUCUGCAGCAGCAGCAGCAGCGUCCAGCAGGGCCUGCAGCCCAAUG